rnacentral:rRNA from 1 species
GACGAACGCUGGCGGCGUGCCUAAUACAUGCAAGUCGAACGCAGUGGGGACUGGUGAGUAACACGUGGGUAACCUCCCAUCAGAGGGGAUAACACUUGGAAACAGGUGCUAAACCGAUUCUGAUGGCUGGACCCGCGGUGCAUUAGCUAGUUGGUGAGGUAACGGCUCACUAAGGCCACAAUGCAUAGCCGGCCUGGGAGGGUAAUCGGCAACACUGGGACUGGGACACGGCCCAGACUCCUACGGGAGGCAGCAGUAGGGAAUCUUCGACAAUGGACGAAAGUCUGACCGAGCAACGCCGCGUGAGUGAAGAAGGUUUUCGGAUCGUAAAACUCUGUUGUUAGAGAAGCGGUAUCUAACCAGAAAGCCAAGGCUAACUACGUGCCAGCAGCCGCGGUAAUUC